CAGUACAGAUGGGGACAGCACGCGAAUCCUCAUCUUCAAAGAAGAGUGUGAAUGUCACUGGUGUACAGGUAAGCUUUGGUGGAGAUAGUAGUAUAGGAGUGAUAGGGGCAAAACAAUCGAUAUGGCAGGAAGGUGUGGGGAGUGUAAAUAGCCCUGUUGGUAAAUCUACUGAAGGGAAAAUUGAUGAUGAUAAUGAGCCGAUGUUGGAUCUAGACAUGGAUGAGGUAAACAUCCCACCAAAACAUCUGAAAAAAGGAAAAGCUAAAGGGGAGUCCACUCCAAAGGAUUGUAGAAGGGCCUUGUUCAACAAUGGGCCCUUAAAAAUAAAUGAACCAAAGCGAGCAGAACCUAAAAAGGCAUUGGAAAUUACUGCAGUUGCUAGAAAAGACUUUGUUGACGGAAAAGAAGGCAAAAUUGAUAUGGGGGCACCUAUUAAAGAGGCUAAAUCCUACAGACCAGAACCCAGUGUGCUGUAUAUUGUUGAAUUGCCUGAGGAUAGUGAGGAAGGAUAUACAAAUAUGCCACAGCAAGGCCUACUACAGAUAACAUAUGAAGGGACUUUAGUAGAAAAGAUGGAAAAGGUUAACCUCAAAAGAGCUCUAGAUGAAACAUGGGAGUCAUCAUUAUCAAAAAAAGCAAGGGUUGAAGUUGCAAAUCAGUUUGAGAAAGCUGCGGAAAUAUUCCAGAACAAAGAAAAUGAAAAACCAUUUGUUAUAGGAAGGAACUCACCUCCAAAAAUAAGAAAUAAAAAAGGCAAGAAAUCUAUUGAAGUGAGUGAGGGUAACUUGGUAGAAGUUCCAGUGCUGGAAGCAAUCUCUACAAAUAUUUUUGAAGGAAUGGAAAAACAAGAUUCAAGAUGUGAUUCGACAAUAGUAGGGCUUGGUGGUCAGCCUCAAAUGGCCACCAAGUCGCCAUGAGUAUUUUAAGCUGGAACUGUCAGGGAUUGGGGUCGUCCCUGACAGGCAAGAACUUGCAGUUCUUGUGUUCUAAGUUUAGACCUUCUCUAGUUUUUCUGAUGGAAACUAGAGUCAAGAUGGAAAAAAUUGAGAAAUGGCGCAGGCGACUAAAUUUUCAGAACAAGAUUUAUGUGGAACUAGUAGGAAUAGGAGGUGGCUUGGCAGUAUGGUGGAAUGAUGAUCUACAACUGAAUUUUAUCAAAUCAGAUAAAAACAUGAUCUACUUGAAGGUUCUCAAAGGUUUGGAGAUGGAGUUUGGCUUUCUAACAUUAGUUUAUGGACCUCCCAAAGAGCAAGACCGAAGAAAGUGGUGGGGAAGACUGAAGAACCUUAAUCCUGGGAAUGCUGUACCUUGGUUAUGCUGUGGAGAUUUCAAUGACCUGCUGUUUGAUUUUGAGAAAGAAGGGGAAAACACUAGAGAUUUAAACUCGUUGACUGAAUUUCAGAACUUCAUGACUCAAUGUGACAUGGAGGACUUGGGGGCCAAAGGCUUGGCUUUCACAUGGUCAAACAAGAGACUCAAUGAGGCAAACGUGAAAGAAAGACUAGAUCGGGCAGUCUGCAACACUUUUUGGAGAGAGAAGCAUCAAAAUGCGCAGAUAAUGGUAGUGGCGGAACUGGUUACAUCCUACGCAAUUCAAAUGGGCAAGUGGUGGAUCUCUAUUGCAAACCUUGUGCGGUGUCUUCAGCAUUCCAAGCAGAAGCACAUGCACUUCAUGAAGCAGCUUUUAAGGUAAAAGAUAGAGACCUGGGACCAGUGAUUUUUGAAUCUGAUUGCCA